UACGUAGGGUGCAAGCGUUGUCCGGAAUUAUUGGGCGUAAAGAGCUCGUAGGCGGUUUGUCGCGUCGGCUGUGAAAACCUGGGGCUCAACCCCGGGCCUGCAGCCGAUACGGGCAAACUAGAAUUCGGUGAGGGGAGACUGGAAUUCCUGGUGUAGCGGUGAAAUGCGUAGAUAUCAGGAGGAACACCGGUGGUGUAGACGGCUUUCUGGACCGUAACUGACGCUGAGACACGAAAGCGUGGGUAGCAAACAGG
rnacentral:rRNA from 1 species